rnacentral:rRNA from 1 species
CAGUCGCCGCGGGAAUACAGAGGGUGCGAGCGUUAAUCGGAUUUACUGGGCGUAAAGCGUGCGUAGGCGGCUUUUUAAGUCGGAUGUGAAAUCCCUGAGCUUAACUUAGGAAUUGCAUUCGAUACUGGGAAGCUAGAGUAUGGGAGAGGAUGGUAGAAUUCCUGGUGUAGCGGUGAAAUGCGUAGAGAUCUGGAGGAAUACCGAUGGCGAAGGCAGCCAUCUGGCCUAAUACUGACGCUGAGGUACGAAAGCAUGGGGAGCAAACAGGAUUAGAUACCCCCGUAGUCCCUGUCUCUUAUAC